rnacentral:rRNA from 1 species
CCUACGGGGGGCUGCAGUAAGGAAUAUUCCGCAAUGGACGAAAGUCUGACGGAGCGACGCCGCGUGUAGGAAGAAGCCCCUCGGGGUGUAAACUACUGUCAGGGAUUACCAAGCAAAGGGACCUAACACGUCUCUGCGUUGAGGAGUCCCAGAGGAAGCCACGGCUAACUUCGUGCCAGCAGCCGCGGUAAUACGAAGGUGGCAAGCGUUGUUCGGAAUCACUGGGCUUAAAGCGCACGUAGGCGGUCCUUCAAGCGUCUUGUGAAAUCCCUCGGCUCAACCGGGGAAUGGCUGGACGAACUGUAGGACUUGAGGCAGGUAGGGGUGCAUGGAACUCUUGGUGGAGCGGUGAAAUGCGUAGAUAUCAAGAGGAACGCCGGUGGCGAAAGCGAUGCACUGGGCCUGCCCUGACGCUGAGGUGCGAAAGCUAGGGGAGCGAACGGGCUUAGAUACCCGAGUAGUC